rnacentral:rRNA from 1 species
CCGGCGACCGGCGCACGGGUGAGUAACGCGUAUGCAGCCUGCCCGUUUCAGCGGGAUAACCCGGAGAAAUCCGGCCUAAUACCGCAUGUGGCCGAGGGGAGGCAUCUUCUUUCGGCCAAAGGAGGCGACUCCGGAGACGGAUGGGCAUGCGUGACAUUAGCUUGUUGGCGGGGUAACGGCCCACCAAGGCGACGAUGUCUAGGGGUUCUGAGGGGAAGGUCCCCCACACUGGUACUGAGACACGGACCAGACUCCUACGGGAGGCAGCAG